rnacentral:lncRNA from 1 species
CAAGCAUCGUAGAAGUUCAAAAUUCAAGGUACUAGUAGGAAAUACGCAAAUACUAUAUACGCACAUUAAUGUUGCUAUAUAAAUAAAUGUAAAUGCGUAUUCUUUAAUAUUAACAUAUUUCACUUUUUCAGUUUGAAUUUAAUGAGUAACGACGUAGUCUGUUGAAAUUGUAAGUAUGUAAUUUAAUAACGUUUUACCAAGGGAAAUUAAAUUUCUUUCUGUUAAAACAUGGCAAAUCUAUCAUUUUGAAAUACGAUUUCCUUCAGAUACAGUAGAAUCAAUAAUUGAUUUAAGAACUUACUUAAGACAGUUGUUGACCAUUCGUUUGAUGUGUUUUAUCAUUUGAUUUUGCCAUUUGAUUAGGAACUUUCCGUUUUGAAUUUUCCUCGGAGUUCAGUAUUUUUGUGAUUUUAUUUUUUGGAAAUAAACUCAUCAUAGAUACCAAGUUUAAAUUUUUUUAUAUUUGUGCCAGAAGCGCGUUUCGUCUACAAAAGACUCAUCAGUGACGCUCGAAUAAAAACAUCAUUAAAAAGGCCAAAUAAAGUACGAAAUAAUUUAUCAGGAUAAUUCCUUUCAUAUUUGGGAAUAAGGAUAUAGUAAAUUUUUGAUAGCUUUACAAACUCGCGCACAAUAGCGAGAGUGAUCUCAGAUGUUCUGAAUGUUUUUACUUAUUCAAGCCUCACAUAUAAUUUUAUUUCAAUUAUUUAUACUUACCAGUCAGAAACAUACUUUUGGAUUAUCUUUCUUUACUACGUUCAUAACUCGCCAACACACAUAUGAUCUUGAUUCAAACAUUAACUGAUUCAGAUCGUCUGUGUAUACAUGCUUCAGUUUAUCGUGGUGGGGUUCGUGUUGUUUAUUCUUUAGUUUUCUAUGUUGUGUCGUGUGUACUAUUGUUUUCUGUUUUGUCUUUUUAUUUUUUAGCCAUGGCGUUGUCAGUUUGUUUUAGAUUUAUGAGUUUGACUAUCCCUUUGGUAUCUUUCGUCCCUCUUUUAUCGGCGUGUACAAAACACCCGCACUGAAAUUAAAGUAUGGGGCGGUGGCGGGAAUAUUGACUAGUAAGUAUAAAUAUUUCAUAAAAUUUUAAAUUGAUUACAAAUUUUUGAAUUUUAAUUAAAAUUGGACGCUUAUUGUUUGUUUUCUUAAAGGGUGUUCCGUAAACAUACUCAUCAUAUAUACUAGGAUUAACAUUUUGUACGCCGAAAGAAUGGGUAUGGGAUUUGAACAUUUCGUCAACAAAUGACUCAUCAAUAACGCUCGAAAAUACAAGUUAAAAGGGCCAAAUAAAGGACGAAGUUAAAGAGCCUUGAGGAUUAAAAGUUCUGAAAGGUUGUGUUAUAUUGUCGACAUUUAUGAGAUUUCCAUCAUCAAAUAAUUACAUUAGAUGUAUGUUUCAUUAUAAUACUUUAUUCUGAUUGGCUAACUGCACAUCACAUGUUAUUCCUUAAGCAAUUACAUUACUCAAUAAAACUUUUCAUUCGUGAUAACACGUGGUCCCACAAUAAAGUGCACAGGUGAAUUAAAUAAAAAAAUUCUAAAAUUCGUGUUUUCAUGAUCAUAGCUAAAAAAUGUAAUUAUAAGUAUUGAAUGCUUCUUUUUGUAACUUUAUAGGGUUGUAAAAGCGUUGACCGUGCGUACAUUUUGAAUGAAGCGCUUCCGCGCUUCAUACAAAAUGUACUUCGGUCAACGCUUUUACACCCCAAUAAAGUUACAAAAAUAAGCAUUCAAUUCUUAAGUAAUUCCCAAGAGAUGAUGUUGACUACCUCAAUAUUUGUGAAAUUUUAUAUUUUACUCCAUAUUUGCAAUUGUAUCUCAGUGUUUACAAAACACUUGCAUGGAUGCAAUUACUUUGCAAUUUUUGCUGAUAAAUAAUCAUAUUGUGGAGAUAAAAAUGAAAAGAAUGUCAAGCUAAGAUGCUUGCACUAACAAUUGAUGGUUAUUAUAUAAAAAAAACGCCGAUGUUAUAUUUUUUUUACUUCUAUAUCAAAUAUCUAAUUACUAACACAUGGAAAAACACAACCUUAGCUUUUUUUGUUUAUUUUUCAGUUAAAUAUCCAGAAACAUGGCCCGCCAAACGUUAAUAUUCAUUGUGAUUUCCUGUUUGGUAGUUGUAUCCUUUGCCUGUAGUUCCUGGAACCGGGAUAAAUCGUGCAUGUGUAGAUGUGAAGACGAGUCUACUGACCGUCAGAAGGAAUGUAGAGAUAUACAAAAUAGAAUAGACAAGAAUGUUUGUUACAGAAAUUCUGCAUCUACUGCAAGAAGUUGUUACGAUGGGUGCUAAUGAAUACCAAUCUCGCAUAGCCCGUAUUUUUCAACAUAAUUGUACAAUGAACAUGUUUAGAGUAUAUAUAUAUAUAUAUAUAUAUAUAUAUAUAUAUAUAUAUAUAUAUAUAUAUAUAUAUAUAUAUAAUAUAUAAUAUAUAUAUAUAUAUAUAUAUAUUGGAAAACCUUUUCUUGCAUUUGAACUAUAACUUGAGAUUCUUAGAUAUUUUUCUCUCUUUAUCUGUAAUAAAUUAUGUAUCAGAUAUAUUUUAAAAAAUC